UCCUCUCUCAAACCCUCUCGGGUUUGGUGUUGGACCGCGUUGGCCGCGAGGCCCCAACUGGUCUCAAAGACAAUGACGGUGUCCCAGGGACCCUCUUCGCACUGAGCUUUCCGGAGCACGCGUAGAGUUUCAAGGGCCCAGGGACCCGGUCGCCUCUAAAAACUUUUUUCA
rnacentral:misc_RNA from 1 species